CCUGAGUGCUGGAGUUCAAGGAGCAUCUGGACGUUGCGUUUGGGUUUGGGUGGUGCUGUGAGAGUUGGGGGCUGCACUCAGUGAUCCAUGUGGGUCCCUCCAACAUGGGAUAUUCUCUGACUCUGAUUCAGUUGUUUGAAAUUGCAAAUCUCAAGAAACAAACAAACAAAAAGCCAAAAACAUACAAGCAAGAGCGCGGCACGGUAACCCGCCCGACCCCGCUUAUCUGCCCCCACAUCCCGCGCACGGCCCCGCAGCGCCGCGGCUCCCUCACUCCCUCUGCUGGCGGGCGGCAGCGCGGCCGGACAUGCGCAGUGGCGCUCCUGACGAGUUAUGGCGGAGCCGCGGGGAGCGGCGGGGCGGGCUGGUGGAGUCGGGUCGUGCUGCCCUACGGCGACGUGAUAUGGCAGGACACAGAAAUAGAUGCGCGGGUGGGACAGGGCGGUAGGGACGGGUCAUAGGUUCACUGGUGUCAUUGGCGUUAGUUCUGUCACACCACAAAUACGUACUGUUUCUCACCAGUGCGUAAUGGAUUUGAAGCUUUCCUCACAGUCGUCUGCACGAGUUCUUCUGCAGAUGUACGUUUUGUAAAAUAAAUGCUGAAGGCAGCAGAGACAUGCUGUGAGUGACCAGGUAAAUUGUUUGAUCUGCUCGGCCGAUUGCAGUCAAACUGAACAUCAGAUUUUAUUUCUUCUUAAUGAAGGAGAAGCAGGGGAAGAGCGAGCCCCUAAAACAGCAGUGGCUGCAACCCUGCUCCCCUCAGAGCCAGUGCUGCCCAUGGGGAAUGUGCUCGAAAUCCCAUCUGUGUUUCCAAACUGAUGUUAAAUUAUUGCACACAUCUCGGUAUUUGCUGUGCAUGGAUGUAUCUUCUGUUGGGAAACAACACAUUGCAGCGAUGGAAGAUAACCUGAAUUCUUCCAUCCCGUUAACUGCAGGAGGUCUUCUGCCCGAAGGGCCGUGUCUGGCAGGCAGGCUGGUUGGGCAUCACAGCUCAGCGCUGGGGUUUCAGUGACCUGCAUACAGCUGCUGGCUGCGGCUGAGCCGGAUGGAGCCAUGGCUGUAUGGCUGUAUUGGAGACUGAAGUGAGCCCAGUUGGGAAGGAGUGGCAAAACACCCCAUUGCGACCAGCCCAGAGGCUCCAUGCAACCUUGGUAUAGAUCACCUCACAAGAAGACACCUCAAGGUGUCAUUUGGUUUAACCUGGCAGGCAUCUAAGCACCACACCUUUUAGUCCCCAGCAAAUGUAAGGCAGAAUUACAGAAAAUAAGCUUUUUAAUCCCCCAUAAGUUCAGCGUGCCUUGUGCACCUACUGCAAAGGGAAACUCAGAACUGGAUUUUAGAAUGAGGUUUUUGGAAGCAUAGAGCCUGCAGCUGAACACUGCUCUGGGGAGUGGGGGAGGGAGGCAGUGCCUGCAGGUCUGAGGCAUCACCUCGCUGUGUUCUACCUUAGGCUGCAGAACUGACAUCAGUCUGUUUUCUCUUGGAAUGCUUGAUUUCGUGGUUGAAUGGCUGAGAGCUGAUCCAGAUACCAUGGCCUCCUCACAGUUAGAGAAUCACAGAAUCAUUAAGACAACAACUGCAUGAUGAGAACACUGGCAAUGCUGGAGUGCUACUUGGGCACCAGCUGCUGCAGCCCCACUGCCCCAGAGGGCCAACAGGGUCACUGUCGCUGCUGCAAGGAGCUUGGCACAGAAGAACAUCCCUGGAGCAGCCAUAGCUCUUUACCACUAUCGGUACCAGACCCUUCCCAUGGCAACAUCCCAUGUCCAGCAGUGAAAGUGCCUGGAGGCAGAAAAAGUUAGGUUAUCUAUUUAUGUAUCCAGACAUUGAGUUCUGAACAACAAAGCUGUGGCUUCGGUAGAUUUUUUGUCACUUUCUGCUUCCUGGUGAGCACAGAGUGAGCAGGCGUUGGUAAGUGGAAAAGCUUUUCUUACUGCAGUGAAGAGCCCAGGUCCCACUCGGUACCACCAUCACCUCUCUCCUGCUUCAGACUUGAAGGGGAGGUUUGCUCUGAGUCUGGCAAGCACCGAGUGCAUCUGAGACAAUAUGGAGGUGGCAGAAAAUAGCAGUGCUGAUUUGCUUUUGUGAUACGUCAGGGCAGUGUGUGAUACAGGCACUUUGGCACACAACAGUGGGUUUCUCAUGCCUGUUCCUAACGUGCUUCGUUCCCUUGUUGCUUUGGCUUCUCUGCCUUAGUUACACCGUGAGCUCCCCAGGUUCACUGAGGCUCUUCAGAGGCCAUGCAGGGGCUUUACAGUGUGGAGGGCCACUCCUGAAGCUGGCACCAUCAGCUUGCCCUGAGACAAAAUAUCACAAUUCACAAAAGCACUAGAAGCACGAAUCACAAAAUGAUUCCAUUACCUGUCAGCACUAUAAAUGCCUCCAGUUAGCAGAGGCCUGUGCUGGGUAUGGUUCUUUGGUGAAGGUGAUCAUAAACACCUCUCAGGGAAGUGAGGGAAGUGCACUGUAUUUGCCCGUGGAGCUACCAAGAAACGGAGCAAUUAAUAAAGGACACUUCUAACAUUUUUGCUGAGAAAAGGACAUUCUGUAAAUCCCAGUCCAUAACCCUUUCCAAAAAGUAAUGCAAAACUGUCACAGCGCAGGAGGGGAAUGAAGCAGCACCAGCUUUCAGUAUUGCUGUGAUGUAGUGAACCUCCUCAGGGAGCGUUUUACAAGCCAAAAUUUCUACUCAGUUGAUGCUAAGGAAGGGUUCAACAUGGGAUUUUCCCCCUUUCCAUUAGCAUUUUAAUUAGACUUUCAUAUUAUCUUGGGUUGUACAGCUUGCGAGGAAUACCUUGUGAAGGAAAAAAACUUUAUACCUGUAUCUCCCUGUGUGUUUUCUUUGUGUGAAACAAGCAGAAAUUUGAGAGCCCAGGUGGGCAGCGGGGACCCCGACUCAAUGGUAACACUGCAGCCCGCAAGCUGCAUCUCGUGCUCAUAAAUCAGCCCAAUUAUUCUAAUGAGGAGAGCUGGGUCCCUCUGCUUCGAGCCCUGCUGGUUUACUGAGAGAGGAGAGCAAAUAAUAGAGAACAAUGGCAGCUUUUGGGUUGGGGGUGGGCAAAGGGAUGGGGGACAAUGGGCGAUGCUUCUCACCACUGCCACUUCAGGAGGGCAGCAGGGCGGCUCUGCAUGAGCCCCGGCUGUUAUUCCAGGUCAGAACGGAAAGUGGUUCCUUUUCUUGCUCUGUAUUAGUUUAAGUUUUCUUGCAAUGGUGAAAAUUAGAAACUUGUUUUUCUGCAAUGUCAACGCAGGUUCUUAUUUACUCCGUGAAUCUGGGAGCUGAAGCUCCAAGAAAACCACAAACUACCAUGAGAUUUAUUAAUGAAAGAUGAGAGCCAAAAUUACAAGCGGCCCCAUUCUUUGUUUUCUAUGUUUUCAUCCUGGUCCCUCCUAUUGUCCCCUCUCAGCGAUGACUGAAACAAAUCAUUCAGGUCUAGAUCUCUUAUUAUGACACUCACAGAGCCUCCUUGCUAUUGUUUUGGCCAAA